AAUAGCACUUAGCUCAUCUUGCAGACAUGAAUUCAAGGGUUGAAGUAGACUGGUUUUUUUCUCUAGUUCUCACAUACAUAUGGGGUGUAAGCCAAUCAUGUCCGCUACUUCUACUAUAUAUGCAUCUUUAUAGCUCACAAAAAUAAAGAAAAAUACAUUUAGAACCAGAUAAAUAAAGGAUAGCCCUACCACUUCAAGCUAGACUUGUGUUUGCAUGGUUUCCUCUGUCUUAAGGAGGAAAAAUGUUUGGAAUCUUAUUUAGUGAAGAUCGACGGUUACUGGUUGAAAAGAUGGCGAAGAGUUUCCUGUAGUACUAUGAAUCUCAUAAAAAAAUGAAAGCAGAGAGAAAUAUGUAGAAAUCUUCCCCGGCUUCCCACUGGUUGGUAGUUUAUUUUGUUUAUUGGAAACAGCCUCUCUAUCUCUAUGCGGGAAGGAUUAGGUUUGUGUACACACUAUCAUCUCCGAACCUCACCUGUGGGACUAUACUGUGUAUGUCGUUGUUGUUGUUAUAUUGAAGAAAAAUUAGCAUAUCUUAAAAGAGAAAAAAAGGAAGUACAUUUACAAAAGGUCUCAUAAUGCUUUGGCUCUACGAUGCCCCUAGGCUGGAACGCUAAUACAAUUAGCUUUUUAUAAUUCCCAACAAUUGAAACCGAAAUUUUACUGUUCUGUAUGGCAGGGCCUGCUGCAAUAUUUCAACCUGGUUGAGGGCUGCUUGACAAUGAUUCAAGCCCAUCAACACAAGAACAACUUCACUUAUGAUUGGAUAAUCCGUACCCGAGUUGAUGGCUACUGGAACGCCCCACUAUCACCAGAAGACUUCAUUCCCGGCGCCUACCUAGUCCCAUCUGGUUCAUCCUACAGUGGCUUAAAUGAUCGCUUUGGCAUUGGUGACUACAACACGUCUGUAGUUGCUCUUUCUCGGCUCUCCUUGAUUACUAAGCUGGAUUUAGCUGGAUAUCAUCGCCUCAACUCCGAGGGCGCAUUCCAGGCCCAACUAAAUAUCAGCAGAGUUCCCUACAUUGCUAAGCGCCUCCCAUUUUGCAUUGUAUCAGAUCGUAGCUAUGAUUUUCCACCACCCCAUUUUGGUGUUCCUGUAGCAGCACUUUCUAGUCCAGGGCCACUAAGCGGUGCUAAAUGCCGGCCUUGCACACCUUCGUGCACUGACCAAUGCGUUGAGCUCAUGAUGAACAGACUGUACAAAGGAUGGAGCUGGACCGAUUGGGCCAAUAACACCCUUCAAAUCUGUGAUGCUCAUGCUGAGUGGGAGAGUGGAUGGCAGAAAAUAUUCGACCAAGUGGCAGGUAAUAAACUCGCUGCAGCGAGACAACGAGUUGAAGAUCUAAAAAUGGAACAGUGUGUGAAAGAUUUCACAGCAAUGAUGAAGAAGGCUGCUUAUUGGGAGGCUCCUCCAGUGUCUCAAAUUUGUCACAUGGGUUUGUCAAUUGCUGCAACGCCUGCCUAACGUCAAAGAAAAUCGUCAAAUCCAUUAUAGUAUAGGGAAACGAUGUAUAGCUUUCUAGCCUACCACGCAGUUUUUUCUACAUUGCAGAGGUUUUAUAUUCAUUUUUCCUUCCUCGUGAAACAAAAAGAAUCGUAGAAAUUACCUCAGAUGUUUCUGUAGACGAUGCAGGUUUACUUAUUAUGCAUAUCUCAUGGACACUGACAAGUAAUAUUGCCUAGCUUUAUGGAGAAAGUAAUUCUGAGAAAUGCAGAAAAGCUCCUUUUUUUUUUGUACCUUAAUCUUUCUUAUUCUAAGCUGUGUGAUUUCAUUGUGCCGAGGGUCUAUUGGAAACAACCUCUAUAGGAGUAAA
rnacentral:lncRNA from 1 species